UGGGGAAUUUUGGACAAUGGGCGAAAGCCUGAUCCAGCAAUGCCGCGUGUGUGAAGAAGGCCUUCGGGUUGUAAAGCACUUUUGUCCGGAAAGAAAUCCUUGGCUCUAAUACAGUCGGGGGAUGACGGUACCGGAAGAAUAAGCACCGGCUAACUACGUGCCAGCAGCCGCGGUAAUACGUAGGGUGCAAGCGUUAAUCGGAAUUACUGGGCGUAAAGCGUGCGCAGGCGGUUUGCUAAGACCGAUGUGAAAUCCCCGGGCUCAACCUGGGAACUGCAUUGGUGACUGGCAGGCUAGAGUAUGGCAGAGGGGGGUAGAAUUCCACGUGUAGCAGUGAAAUGCGUAGAGAUGUGGAGGAAUACCGAUGGCGAAGGCAGCCCCCUGGGCCAAUACUGACGCUCAUGCACGAAAGCGUGGGGAGCAAAGCAGGAUUAGAUACCCUGGUAGUCCACGCCCUAAACGAUGUCAACUAGUUGUUGGGGAUUCAUUUCCUUAGUAACGUAGCUAACGCGUGAAGUUGACCGCCUGGGGAGUACGGUCGCAAGAUUAAAACUCAAAUGAAUUGACGGGGUCAUAGCUGUUUCCU
rnacentral:rRNA from 1 species